rfam:Arcobacter cryaerophilus strain AZT-1 contig128, whole genome shotgun sequence.
UUUAUGGAGAGUUUGAUCCUGGCUCAGAGUGAACGCUGGCGGCGUGCUUAACACAUGCAAGUCGAACGAGAACGGGUUAUAGCUUGCUAUAAUUGUCAGCUAAGUGGCGCACGGGUGAGUAAUGUAUAGGUAAUAUGCCUCUUACUAAGGGAUAACAAAUGGAAACGUUUGCUAAUACCUUAUACUCCUUAUUAACAGAAGUUAAUAAGGGAAAGAUUUAUUGGUAAGAGAUUAGCCUGUAUUGUAUCAGUUAGUUGGUGGGGUAAUGGCUUACCAAGACUAUGACACAUAACUGGUUUGAGAGGAUGAUCAGUCACACUGGAACUGAGACACGGUCCAGACUCCUACGGGAGGCAGCAGUGGGGAAUAUUGCACAAUGGACGAAAGUCUGAUGCAGCAACGCCGCGUGGAGGAUGACACAUUUCGGUGCGUAAACUCCUUUUAUAUUCCGUGCCAGCAGCCGCGGUAAUACGGGGGGUGCAAGCGUUACUCGGAAUCACUGGGCGUAAAGAGCAUGUAGGCGGAUUAAUAAGUUUGAAGUGAAAUCCUAUAGCUUAACUAUAGAACUGCUUUGAAAACUGUUAAUCUAGAAUGUGGGAGAGGUAGAUGGAAUUUCUGGUGUAGGGGUAAAAUCCGUAGAGAUCAGAAGGAAUACCGAUUGCGAAGGCGAUCUACUGGAACAUUAUUGACGCUGAGAUGCGAAAGCGUGGGGAGCAAACAGGAUUAGAUACCCUGGUAGUCCACGCCCUAAACGAUGUACACUAGUUGUUGUGAGACUUGAUCUUGCAGUAAUGCAGUUAACACAUUAAGUGUACCGCCUGGGGAGUACGGUCGCAAGAUUAAAACUCAAAGGAAUAGACGGGGACCCGCACAAGCGGUGGAGCAUGUGGUUUAAUUCGACGAUACACGAAGAACCUUACCUGGACUUGACAUAGUAAGAACUUUCUAGAGAUAGAUUGGUGUCUGCUUGCAGAAACUUAUAUACAGGUGCUGCACGGCUGUCGUCAGCUCGUGUCGUGAGAUGUUGGGUUAAGUCCCGCAACGAGCGCAACCCUCGUGUUUAGUUGCUAACAGUUCGGCUGAGAACUCUAAACAGACUGCCUACGCAAGUAGGAGGAAGGUGAGGACGACGUCAAGUCAUCAUGGCCCUUACGUCCAGGGCUACACACGUGCUACAAUGGGAUAUACAAAGAGCGGCAAUACGGUGACGUGGAGCAAAUCUUAUAAAAUAUCUCCCAGUUCGGAUUGUAGUCUGCAACUCGACUACAUGAAGUUGGAAUCGCUAGUAAUCGUAGAUCAGCUAUGCUACGGUGAAUACGUUCCCGGGUCUUGUACUCACCGCCCGUCACACCAUGGGAGUCGAACUCAUUCGAAGCGGGGAUGCUAAAAUAGCUACCUUCCACAGUGGAUUUGGCGACUGGGGUGAAGUCGUAACAAGGUAACCGUAGGAGAACCUGCGGUUGGAUCACCUCCUUU